rnacentral:tRNA from 1 species
UGGGGGAUCGUCUAACGGCAGGACGAGUGGCUCUGGACCACUUAAUCGGGGUUCGAAUCCCUGUCCCCCAG